rnacentral:rRNA from 1 species
UUGACAUCCAGCGAACUUGGCAGAGAUGCCUUGGUGCCUUCGGGAACGCUGAGACAGGUGCUGCAUGGCUGUCGUCAGCUCGUGUUGUGAAAUGUUGGGUUAAGUCCGCAACGAGCGCAACCCUUAUCCUUUGUUGCCAGCGAUUCGGUCGGGAACUCAAAGGAGACUGCCGGUGAUAAACCGGAGGAAGGUGGGGAUGACGUCAAGUCAUCAUGGCCCUUACGAGUAGGGCUACACACGUGCUACAAUGGCGCAUACAAAAAGAAGCGACCUCGCGAGAGCAAGCGGACCUCAUAAAGUGCGUCGUAGUCCGGAUCGGAGUCUGCAACUCGACUCCGUGAAGUCGGAAUCGCUAGUAAUCGUGGAUCAGAAUGCCACGGUGAAUACGUUCCCGGGCCUUGUACACACCGCCCGUCACACCAUGGGAGUGGGUUGCAAAAGAAGUAGGUAGCUUAACCUUCGGGAGGGCGCUUACCACUUUGUGAUUCAUGACUGGGGUGAAGUCGUAACAAGGUAGGCGUAGCGAG